rnacentral:rRNA from 1 species
GCAUAUCAAUAAGCGGAGGAAAAGAAACCAACAGGGAUUACCUCAGUAACGGCGAAGUGAAGCGGUAAAAGCUCAAAUUUGAAAUCUGGCUCUUUUAGAAGUCCGAAGUUGUAAUUUGUAGAAGAUGCUUCGGGUGUGGUUCCGGUCUAAGUUCCUUGGAACAGGACGUCAUAGAGGGUGAGAAUCCCGUAUGUGACUGGAUACCUAUGCUCAUGUGAAGCUCUUUCGACGAGUCGAGUUGUUUGGGAAUGCAGCUCAAAAUGGGUGGUAUAUUUCAUCUAAAGCUAAAUAUUGGCCAGAGACCGAUAGCGCACAAGUAGAGUGAUCGAAAGAUGAAAAGCACUUUGGAAAGAGAGUUAAACAGUACGUGAAAUUGUUGAAAGGGAAGCGCUUGCAAUCAGACUUGCACUUGGUGUUCAUCGGGGUUUCUACCCCGUGUACUUCAUCAAGUUCAGGCCAGCAUCAGUUUGGGUGGUUAGAUAAAGGCUUAGAGAAUGUGGCCCUCUUCGGGGGGUGUUAUAGCUCUAGGUGCAAUGUAGCCUACCUGGACUGAGGACCGCGCUUCGGCUAGGAUGCUGGCGUAAUGGUUGUAAGCGACCCGUCUUGAAACACGGACCAAGGAGUGUACCUAAUAUGCGAGUGUUUGGGUGUUAAACCCAUACGCGUAAUGAAAGUGAACGGAGGUGAGAGCCCUUAAGGGUGCAUCAUCGACCGAUCCUGAUGUCUUCGGAUGGAUUUGAGUAAGAGCAUAUUGGGUGCGACCCGAAAGAUGGUGAUCUAUACGUGAAUAGGGUGAAGCCAGAGGAAACUCUGGUGGAGGCUCGCAGCGGUUCUGACGUGCAAAUCGAUCGUCAAAUUUUGCGUAUAGGGGGCGAAAGACUAAUCGAACCAUCUAGUAGCUGGGUUCCUGCCGAA